rnacentral:rRNA from 1 species
UGCAGUCGACGAUGAUGCAGGAGCUUGCUCUUGGGGAUUAGUGGCGAACGGGUGAGUAACACGUGAGUAACCUGCCCUUGACUCUGGGAUAACCUCCGGAAACGGAAGCUAAUACCGGAUACGAACUGCGAAGGCAUCUUCAGCAGUUGGAAAGAACUUCGGUCAAGGAUGGACUCGCGGCCUAUCAGGUAGUUGGUGAGGUAAAGGCUCACCAAGCCUACGACGGGUAGCCGGCCUGAGAGGGUGACCGGCCACACUGGGACUGAGACACGGCCCAGACUCCUACGGGAGGCAGCAGUGGGGAAUAUUGCACAAUGGGCGCAAGCCUGAUGCAGCAACGCCGCGUGAGGGAUGACGGCCUUCGGGUUGUAAACCUCUUUUAGUAGGGAAGAAGCGAAAGUGACGGUACCUGCAGAAAAAGCACCGGCUAACUACGUGCCAGCAGCCGCGGUAAUACGUAGGGUGCGAGCGUUGUCCGGAAUUAUUGGGCGUAAAGAGCUCGUAGGCGGUCUGUCGCGUCUGCUGUGAAAACCCGAGGCUCAACCUCGGGCCUGCAGUGGGUACGGGCAGACUAGAGUGCGGUAGGGGAGAAUGGAAUUCCUGGUGUAGCGGUGGAAUGCGCAGAUAUCAGGAGGAACACCGAUGGCGAAGGCAGUUCUCUGGGCCGUAACUGACGCUGAGGAGCGAAAGCGUGGGGAGCGAACAGGAUUAGAUACCCUGGUAGUCCACGCCGUAAACGUUGGGCGCUAGAUGUGGGGACCAUUCCACGGUUUCCGUGUCGCAGCUAACGCAUUAAGCGCCCCGCCUGGGGGAGUACGGCCGCAAGGCUAAAACUCAAAAGGAAUUGACGGGGGGCCCGCACAAGCG